rnacentral:rRNA from 1 species
AUUGAACGCUGGCGGCAUGCCUUACACAUGCAAGUCGAACGGCAGCACGGGAGCAAUCCUGGUGGCGAGUGGCGAACGGGUGAGUAAUAUAUCGGAACGUGCCCAGUCUGGGGGAUAACGUAGCGAAAGCUACGCUAAUACCGCAUACGAUCUAUGGAUGAAAGCGGGGGAUCGCAAGACCUCGCGCGAUUGGAGCGGCCGAUAUCAGAUUAGGUAGUUGGUGAGGUAAAGGCUCGCCAAGCCGACGAUCUGUAGCUGGUCUGAGAGGACGGACCAGCCACACUGGGACUGAGACACGGCCCAGACUCCUACGGAGGCAGCAGUGGGGAAUUUUUGGACAAUGGNGCGAAGCCUGAGUCCAGCAAUGCCGCGUUGCAGGAUGAAGGCCUGG